UCGGGCUGGCUUUCCCGCGCCCGUGCGCCGUCUGCGUGAACGUCACAAGCACCGGCGCUGACGUUGUGCGCUGGUGCACGUGUGCCGUUUUUCCCUGCGCCUUCGCGUCCGGUUGUGGAGAAGCCAGUCCGAGGAGCUGCUGCGGGGCGGGGUGCUCCGGGGAGACCGUGACGUGUGCGGCUCGCGCUCCGCCGGUGCAGCCGGGGCGGGAAGCUGCGCUAACAGGACACGCGCGGAGAGCGGGAAGCGGCUCCGCUGAGGCACGUGCUUGGAGGGUGUGUAACUUUGAACACACUGCCGUGUCGUCCUUUACAUUUCUCCGUGUGUUUGAACGGUUUCGCAGUAAAACGUUGGGGAAGGAGAAGGAAUCCAAGAUGACCGACAAGCAGCGGGACUUCGACGGUAGUAUGUGUAAGAGUCCCUAGGAAGCGCGUGAGAAAAAAUGCAGGUGCUGCGUCUCCACCCCCAGGUGUUCUCACUCACGGCGUCUGGGGAGAGUCUUAGGAAUCUUCUUUUCCACAGGUGGCCCGUGUGAUUCUAACGCAGGUGGUCUGUAGAUUCUCAUUGGAGAUACAAAUACUCCUCUCUCUAUGUGCUGGGGGUUUUUUCCAAUACAUCCCCUGUACCAAAAUCCGCGGAUGCUCAAUUCCCUUCCAUAAGAUGGCAUAGUACUUGCAUAUAACCUAUAUGUAGGUUCUCCCACAUACUUUAAAUCAUCUGUAGAUUACUUAUAAUACUUAAUUAAAAUGUAAAUAUUAUGUAAUUGUUGUACUGUAUUAUUUGCGGACUAACGAUAAGAAAAAAAAGGUUUUCCCCCCACCCCCGAAUAUUCUCGAUCCAUGGUUCGUUGGAUCUGCAGGUGUGCAACCCACGGAUAAAGAGGGCCAACUGUAGUAUAAAGUAAAAAAGUAAAAGUUGAGAUUUCUACUUUCUUUUAUUUCUCCUUCCUCCCGUACUAAUAUUGUUACAUUUAUUCUUAUUUCUAUGCUAUCAAAAAUUUGCAUUCUCUUCUAUCAUUAGUAAUGACGGCUCACCCAAUAAGCCAGGUAGGCAUGGGCUUACUUGUGCUUACUUACUAAUCUGUAGUACACUACAAAUUAGUAAGUAAACACAGUUAAGUCCGUACCUACCUGGUUUAUUGGUUAAUCUGCCCUGAUCAUUAUAAUUAAAUAUGUCUAGCUUUGUCCAUGGAUUGGAAACCAAUCAACAGCAUUCACAGUGUUAGGGGUGAGACAGACCUGUUGGGUAUAGUCUAUGUGCCCUUGAACUGAACAUUUUACUCAAACUGGUUCAACUUCGAAGUCCAGCAGCUGAGAGUAUUUGCCUGCUGGAAUUCAUGAACCCUUCCAUAUUUUUGGAGCCCUUUUGGUGCAGUGGUUGAGAGCUUGGCUACUAACCAGCAGGUCAACAGUUCUGAUUUACCAGCUGCUCCUUGAAAACCCUAUGGGGAUGUUCUACUCUAUCCUAUAGGGUUACUGUGAGUUGAAAUCAGCUCAAUGGCACCGGGUUUCGUUUUUCGGUUUGGGCUCUCUCUGGCCACCAGAGCCUGCUCUGCCUGUGUACAGGAAAGGCCUGAGAUGCCAGGAAAUUGACACCUUCUGGGAGUGCCCUCAGCUGGACAGAUAAAAGCCCCAACACCCUUACCCGUGGGGGCAGGGAGGUAACCUAAGGUGAGUUCUACGCAGACUUCCAGUGUGUCUGGUUUCAGGUCCAGUUAAAUAGAAACCAGCUUGCUGGCACACAUGGUAUUACCUUCCAUUCCUUCCUUGGCCCAUUUCCCCAUUCCCUACAAGUGUUUCCUGGGAUCACCUUCCACGCAAAUAAUUUGCACUCAAAUCCUUAUCUCUGGGUCUGUUUCUAGGAAACUCAAACUAAGACAGUUACACCAGAUUUGGGCGCACUAAGCGAAUGCUAGGAUUUGGAUCCUGGAAUUGAGUUACUCUCCAGCCAGGUGGCAACAAGGACCCCAUUGUUAGUGUGCUGAAGAAAUGACAGACACAAGUCAGCCAACUAUCGGUGUGCGGCAGAACGUGGGAGCCAUUUUUACAGCGAAUUGUUAAACAUUUAGCAGCACUCCACUGUAUUCCCUAGGCUUCCUGAAUCUGAGGGUUUAUACUGUUAAUUCUCAAAGUCUCUAGACCUUUCUAAGCCUCAGUUUCCUCAGCUGUGAAAUAUAUAACCUGUCUCUCAGAGUUUUGUAGAAUAAAUGAGAUGGUUUGUUGGAAAUCACACCUAUUUCUCGAUACCAGGAAAGAAUUCAUUAAGAAGGCAGUUUUGGCCUUGAGGAGAAUAAUUAAGUCAGACUGAUGUAAGAGAAGGAAGUCAUUCUAAACAUAAGGGCCAACAUGAAUAAAAGAAAAGGGACUGGAAAGUACUGCUUGGGUUGACAGACACGGGAUCUAAUCUGAUGAGAAUUUGGGCACAUGAGAGAAAACGGUGACCAAUAGACCUGGGAGAUAAGAAGAAACUCAGUGAGUAAGUGGACUUUAAUGAAGGGCGUGGUAUCCUCAUAAGGACAUCAUGGUUGCUAAAGUAGAACCCUGUUGCAGUCAUGUUGAUUCUAACUCAUGGCGACUCCAUGUGUUACAGAGAACUUCUCCAUCGAGUCUUCUUCGUUGCAGUCUUUAUGGAAGUAGAUCACUAAGUCUGUCUUCCAUAGCGCGGCUGAAUGGGCUCAAACUGCCAAAUUUUAGGUUACUAGUCAAUUGUAAACUCUUUGUGCUACCCAGGGACCUUUGGUAAAGUGGAGGGUCAGCGAAAACAAGGGCAACCCUCAAUGAGAUGGAUUGACACAACAGUCAAAACAAUGGACUCAAACAUCCCAAUGGUCAUGAAGAUGGCGUAGGACCAGGUAGUGGUCUGUUAUGCAGGCAUACGUCAGAGAUAUCGCAGGUUCAGUUCCAGACCACCGCACUAAAGUGAAUACUACAAUAAAUGCAGCCACAUGAAUUUUUUGGUUCCCAGUGCAUUUAAAAUUUACAUUUAUGCUGUGCUGUAGUGUAAUUAAAGGAACACUGGUUGCACAGUGGUUAGAGCAAUGGCCUGCUAACUAAAAGGUUGACAGUUCAAAAACACCAGCCGCUUCAUGGGAGAAAAAUGUGGCUGUCUGCUCCCAAAGAAAUUUACAGUCUUGGCAACCUGAUGGGGUCACUGUGGGUGAGAAUCUACUCAAGGGCAGUAGGUUGGUUUGUUUGUUUUUGGUAGUCUAUUAUAGCAUCUGGUCUAAAAAACAAUGUACAUGCCUUAUUUAAAACAUGCUUUAUUGCUAAAAAAUGCUAACUGUCAUCUGAGCCUUGAGCGAGCUGUAAUCCUUUUGCUGGUGGAGGGUCUUGCCCCGGUGUUGAUGGCUGCUGACUGAUCAGGGUGGUGAUUGCUGAAGGUUGGGGUGGCCGUGGCAAUUUCUUAAAGUAAGACAAGAGUGAAGUUUGCUGCAUCCACUGACUUCCUUUCAUGAAAGAUUUCUCUGGAGCACGCAAUGCUGUUUGAUAGCAUUUUACCCACAGUAGAACUUCUUUCAAAAUUGAGGUCAGUCCUCUCAAACCCUGGCUACUGCUUUAUCGACUAAGUUUAUGUAAUAUUCUAAAUCCUUUGCUGUCAUUUCAACAAUGUUACAGCAUCUUCACCAGAAGUAGAUUCCAUGUCAAGAAACCACUUUCUUUGCUAAUCAUAAGAAGCAACUCCUCAUCUGUUAAAGUUUUAUCGUUGGAUUGCAGCAAUUCAGUCACAGCUCCAGGCUCCACUUCUAAUUCUAGUUCUCUUGCUGUUUCCACCACAUCUGCAGUUACUUCCUCCACUGAAAUCUUGAACCUCACAAAGUUCUCCAUGAGAAUUGGAAUCAGCGUCUUCCAAACUCCUGUUAAUGUUGAUUUUUUGACCUCCUUCCAUGAAUCACAAAUGUUCUUAAUGGCACCUAGAAUGGAAAUUCUUUCCAGAAGGUUUUCAGUUUACUUUGCCCAGAUCCAUCAGAGGAAUCACCAUCUAUGGCAGCUGUAGCCUUACAAAAUGUAUUUCUUAAAUUAUAAGACUUGAAAGUCAAAAUUACUCCUUGAUCCUUGGGCUGCAAAAUAGAUGUUGUGUUAGCAGGUAUGAAAACAUUAAUCUCCUUGUACAUCUCCAUCAAAGCUCUUGGGUGACCACUUGUAUUGUCAAUGAGCAGUAGUAUUUUGAAAGGAAUCUUUUUGUUUCUGAGCAGUAGGUCUCAACAGUGGGCUUAAAAUAUUCAGUGAACUGUUAUAAAAACAAUAUUGUCAUCUAGACUUUGUCGUUCCAUUUAUAGAGCACAGGUAGUACAUUUAGCAUAGUUCUUAAGGGCCCUAGGAUUUUGGGAAUGGUAAAUGAGCACUGGCUUCAACUUUAAAUUCACCAGCUACUUUAAAGUCACCAGCUGCAUUAGUCCCUAAAAAGAGUCAGCCUGUCCUUUGAAGCCAGGCAUGCACUUCUCCUCUCCAUGGAAAUCCUAGAUGGCAAUGUUUUCCAGUAGAAGCCUGUUUCCUCUACAUUGAAAAUCUCUCGUUGAGUGUAGCCGUCUUCAUCAGUUAUCUCAGCCAGGUCUUCUGGAUCACGCACUGCAGCUUCCAACCGACACUUGCUACUUCACGUUGCAUUUGUAUGUUAUGGAGAUGGCUUCUCUCCUUAAACCUCAUGAUCCAACCUCUGCUAGCUUCAAAUUUUCCUUCUGCAGCUUCCUUGCCUCUCACGGUCUUCAUAGAAUUGAAGAGAGUUAGGGCCUUGCUCUGGAUUAGGUUUUGCCUUAAGGGAAUGUUGUGGCUGGUUUGAUCUUCUGUCCAGACCACUAAAACUUUCUCCACGUCAGCAAUAAGGCUGUUUCGCCUUCUUAUCAUUAGUGUGUUCACUGGAGUAGCAAUUUUAAUUUCCUUCUAGAACUUUUCUUUGCAUUCAUAGAUUAGCUGUUUGGUGCAAGAGUCCUAGCUUUUGGCCUGUCCCGGCUUUCAACAUGCGUUCCUUACUGAGCUUAACCAUUCCUAGCUUUUGAUUUAAAGUGAGAGACUUGUGACUCUUCCUUUCCCUUGAACAUUUAGAGGCUGUUAAUUGGCUUAAUUUCAAUAUCGUCUUGUCUCAGGAUAAGGAGGCCCAAGGAGAAAGAGGGAAACAGGGGGAAUGGCCAGUUGUUGGAGCAGUCAGAACACACCAACAUUUACCAAUUAAGUUUGCUGUCUUAUAUGGGUAUGGUUUGUGGCACCCCAAAACAAUAUCAAUAGUAACAUCAAAGAUCACUGAUCACAGAUCAUCAUAACGUAUAUAGUAAUAAUUUUAAAAGUUUGAAAUACCAGAACAAUUACCAAAAUGUGACGCAGAGACAUGAAGUUAGCAAGUUCUGUUGGAAAAAUGGCACCAAUGGACUUGCUCAAAGCAGGGUUGCCACAAACCUUCAAUUUGUGAAAAAUGCAGUAUCUGUCAAGUGCAAUAAAACAAAGUAUGCCUUGUCUUAGUUAUCUAGUAUUGCUAUAACAGAAAUACCAUAAGUAAAUGGGUUCAACAAACAAGGUUAUUCUCUCUCAGUCUAGGAGCUAGAAGUCCAGGUUCAGGAUGUAAGCUCCAGGAGAAGGAUUUCUCUGUCAAUUCUGGAGGAAGGUCCUUGUCAUCAAUCUUCCCUUGGAUUAGGAGCUUUUCCGUGCAGGAACCCCAGGGUCCAAAGGACACACUCUGUUCCUGGUCCUACUUUUUUUGUGGUAUGAGGUCCCCCUGUCUCUCUACGUCUGUCUUUUAUCUCUUACAAGAUAAAAUGUGAUACAGGCCACAUCCCAGGGAAACUCCCUUUACAUUGGAUCAGGGAUGUGACCUGAGUAAGGGUGUUACAUCCUACCCUAAUCCUCUUUAACCUCAUCAACCACAGGGAGAGAUUAGGAUUUACAACACAUAGGAAAAUUACAUCAAUCACAAAAUGGAGGACAACUGUACAGUAUUGAGAAUCCUGACCUAACCAAGUUGAGAGAUAUUUUGGGGGGAUAAAAUUCAAUGCUUGACAUUCCUGUACAUAAGAUCCCCAUGAGUUUGAGCUGACUAGAUGGCACCAAACAACAAUCACAACAAUCAAGGGAAGACAAAGAGAAAAAUGUCUUAGGUGGGGGAGAAAACACGUCAGGAGGCGGGAAAGCUUGACCCACUGGGAAUGAGAACAACGUCAGUAUCGUUGGUGGAAAUCAGCAGGCGUGGGGUAUGACGCAUUAAUCAGACGUGUGACGUGUGACAAGUUGAGGUGACCGCUGAAUCUCUAGGUUUGGACUUCCAAAGGACGGUUCGAAAUCCAUCUUUUCAACGCUUUGUAUCGAUCGAAUACAUACUGUGUCCUAGGCUUGAAAUUAGGUGGUCAGUAGAGAGAGACAAGACCUAGUUCCAAGGAUUAAGGAGCUCAACAGUCCCAGGUUCAGACAGAACAUACGACAAAAGGGAAGACUCAGGAUGAGCUUCUCUGAGAUGGUGAAGGAAGAAGAGGGACAAGGGAGCAUAUUUAAGUCCCCGAGGGCUGCCGCACAAAAUACCACGAAGUAGGUGGCUUAUGAGGAAGGCGUCUAUUGUCUCGCGGCUCUGGAGGCCGGGAGUCUGAGUUAAGGGUGUCAGCAGGACCGUGCUCCCUCUGAGGGCUCUUGUCUCUUCCAGGUGGUCAAAUUUAAAUUAAUCUAGACAUAUGUAAAAAAGUAUAUGAUAACAUUUGUCCUUGGCUUGUAGCCGCAUCACCCCACUCCCUUCCUCCAUCAUCACAUGGCCAUCUUCCCUCUGUCUGGCUCUCUGUGUCUCUUCCCCUCUUGUACAAGGACAUCACUCAGACGGGAUGGGGACCCACCCGGGUCUAGUAUGACCUCAUGUUAACUAGUAACACCUUCAGUGACCCAAUUUCCACACAAGGUCAUGUUCACAGGUACCAGGGUUAGGACAUUAAUAUUUCUUUUCCGAGGGGGAAACAGUUCAGUCCAUAACAGAUGGCUUCACCAAGGAGGUGACGAUGUCAGACACAAACACCUGUUACGCUAGAGGGUUUCCUGCCCGUGGAGAGAGUGAGGACAUUCCACGCAGAGGGACCAGCACGUGAGGAUGCAAAGGCCAAGAGGCUCAGGGAGUUGGCUCUGUGCAGAGGACGGCGAGUGCUGUGUGAGACUGGGGACAGUGCAGGGACCUGGUCACCAAGGACUUAUCUACCGGUGUGAUGAACAUGAAUUUUAUCCUGAAGGCCAAGAGGCUCAGGGAGUUGGCUCUGUGCAGAGAAGGGCAAGUGCUGUGUGAGCCUGGGGACAGUGCAGGGACCUGGUCACCAAGGACUUAUCUACCAGUGUGAUGUACCUGAAUUUUAUCCUGAAGGCCAAGAGGCUCAGGGAGUUGGCUCUGUGCAGAGGACGGCGAGUGCUGUGUGAGCCUGGGGACAGUGCAGGGGCCUGAUCCCCAAGGACUUAUCUACCGGUGUGAUGAACCUGAAUUUUAUCCUGAAGGCCAAGAGGCUCAGGGAGUUGGCUCUGUGCAGAGGACGGCGAGUGCUGUGUGAGCCUGGGGACAGUGCAGGGGCCUGAUCCCCAAGGACUUAUCUACCGGUGUGAUGGACCUGAAUUUUAUCCUGAAGGUAGUAAAUGUUGUUGUUGAUUGUUAGUUGCCGUGGUGUCGAUUCCGACUCCAGCAACCCCGUGUGUGCGGAGCGGAACUGCUCCCUAGGGGUUUUUGAGGCUGCAGCCUUUUGGAAGCGGAUUACCAGGCCUCUGGGUGGGUUUGAACAGCCAACCUUUUGGUUAGUAGUCCAGUGCUUAACCAUUUGUACCACCAGGAACUCCCAAAGUCAGUAAAUAGUGUACUAAAAAUAACUUUAAAAAGGAAUACAGCAUUAGCUCAUCGGAUAUUAGAGUGGUCUGGGCGGGGGGGAACAGAUUGGUUAUGGUGACAGGAAGACAAGGAAGCUGUUCCCAUAGUCCAGGUGAGAGUUUAGAAGGGCCCAAGCUAAAGGUGGAGAAGUGCAGAUGGAGAGAAGAGGAUGGAUUUUACUGAGGUAAGUAGGUUACAAUAACUUAAAACCUAGGUGCCAACCAGUCAACUCUGACUCGUGGCGACCCCACGUGUGUAAAUGUAGAACAACUCUGACUCGUGGCGACCCCACGUGUGUAAAUGUAGAACAACUCUGACUCGUGGCGACCCCACGUGUGUAAAUGUAGAGCAACUCUGACUCGUGGCGACCCCACGUGUGUAAAUGUAGAACUGUGCUCCGUAGGGUUUUCAAUGGCUGAUUUUUUUAGAAGUAGAUCGCCAGGUCCUUUGAAGCACCUCUGGGUGGACUCGAACCACCAACUCUUUGGUGAGCAGCCAAGCACAUUAACCGAUGGCACCACCCAAAGACUGCUUACAGUGACUUAGAGUCUCUAAAUAAAUAAGUCUUACAAGAAGAAAUCCAGGAGCACGUAAUAGGAAAAAAGCCUUCUGACCUCCCACUUGCAUAUCCUUAGAAUAGAAAGUCCCUAAUUUUUUGGUAUUAAAAACUAAAAAUGUGUAUUGUAUCAUGGAGAUCAUCUAUUAGUCUGUGCUCAGUAAUUUUAGUGAUUUCUCACUUGAGGUCAGCCAUCCUGUUUUUGCAAUAAUUGGCAUAGUUUAGUUGGUGGUGUUGUUGCUAGGUGCCAUCGAGUCUGUUCUAAUUCCUGGCAACCCUUUGUAUAACAGAAACACUGCCCGGUCCUGCACCAUCCUCACAAUUGUUGUUAUGCCUGAGCGCAUUGUUGAAGCUACUGUGUCAGUUCAGCUCACUGAGGGUUUUCCUCUCUUCUCUGAUGCUCCAGUUUACCAAGCAUGAUGUCCUUCUUGGUUAAAGCAAUUGACUGCUAACCAAAAUGUUGGUGGUUCAAAACCACCAGAGGCUCUGUGGGAGAAAGAUGUGGCAGUCAGCCUCUGUAGAGGUUGAUAGCUUUGGAAACCUUAUGGGGCCGCUAUGAAUUGGAAUUGACUGGACAGCAGUGGGUUUGGUUUUUGGUGGGAUUUCCUUUUCUAGGGACUGGCCCCUCCUGAUAACACGUCCGAAGUAUGUGAGACAUGCUCGCCUAAGUCUCAUCAUCACCACUUCUAAGGAGUAUUCUGGCUGUACUUUUUCUAAGGCGGAUUUGUUUGUUCUUCUGGCAGUCCAUGGUAUAUUCAAUAUUUGUCCCCAAUACUGUAAUUCAGAGACAUCAAUUCUUCUCUGGUCUUCCUUAUUCACCAUCCAGUUUUUGCACUGGACAAUGAAUAAGUGCAAAGGGCUCCUUUGCACGGGUUCGAAUCCUCUUUCCAGUUAUGUUGCCCUCUGUGCUUUGGUCUUCCCGGUCCUAAAGUGGUGAUGAGAACAUGUAUGUGUGUGAGUGCGACUCUAUGUGACGGUUGCUAGAUAGCAUUUAAUUCUUAAACAGAAAGUGUGAUAAAAUACUGUCAUUAGUGUUUGCAUAUGUAGCCCCAUUUAAAUUUUUCUGGGAUGCUCCAAGCUAGUUGAUGUUUCUUUAACCCCAUUUUAUAGAUGAGACAACUGAUGCUCCCAGAAGAUAGGUAGUUUGCCUACAGUCACAUGGCUACAGCUAAGAUUAAACACCCACAUCCAUUUGGUUCACUGUAUUUUGUUUCCCCCCGAUAUUUGUAGAAUACACUUUAAUUAAACCAAAUACAGUAGAAAAGCUAAUUAAAUGGAGGAAGUGUGGAAUAUGACUCACAGAGCUAGAAAAAACUGACUCCCAAAGACAGAUUCAAAGACAAAGCCAGCUUGGCUAACGGACGCCACCAGGGGGCAGUGUGCACCAGGCCAACCAGCAGAGGGCGGCUUCAUUAUUGUUCAUUUGCCGCUCAGACAAAGAAGUAAUGCAAAGGGUGGGGGGGAAUGCUGUCAGUUAAUGGAUUCUCCAUGUAACUCAUUUCCAUUUAACUCACGCCUUUUAAUUAGACGUUCCUCGCAGCUGAGAACAGUAUGAAAGCAGUUUUCUUCUACUCUACUACUUCUCUGGGGUUUUUCUUAAUUAUGCUUUAUGCCAGCUGGGUCUCUUUGUAAAUUUAAUCACCUGGUUGCUAACUGCAUUUCUGUGCACAAUAGAUUGGUACGAAAGCCGUCCCUACAGCACUAUGGCAGUAUAUGGUCCACUUAAGCCGUGGAAAGGCAGUUUCUAUUUUUUUCUUUAUUAUUUGGCUUUACACUGACUAGGCCCCUCACAAAUCUGAUGAUCACAUUGCGAAAUGCAUUCUGUGAACAACUGAUUGAUAGGAAAGCCAUCGCAGCAGCACCUUGGUGGUGUAUGCUACGUUCAAACCCUGGAAAUGCAAAUCCUCAGUGUUUUAAAAGCUGUAUACCACUCAUAUUUGAAGGAUUAAAAUCUUUUUUUAGUUAUUUGAAAUUGGUAUUAACCCACUAUUUUAAUCCAUUACUUAAAUAUCUUUGACAUUCAACCUCAUAAAUUGGCAAAUAUGUUAAGACUGAGAUAAUUAAAGCCAUUAGAUGCCAAUACUAUUUUAGUACGAAAAAAAAUGGAUGUGAAUUAAUUCCCUAAAACCUGGGUAAAAUAGAAAAAUGGACUGAUUUACGUUAUUGUUGAAUCUAAAAAACUCACGAGAUAAACACAAAAAUGCACACAACGCACAAAGAUUGGGAUGUGGUCAUUGAAAAAACUUUUGUUGUUGUUGUUGUUAGGUGCCACGAAGUCAGUUCCAACUCAUCACAAUCGUACAUACCAUGGAACAAAACACUGCCUGUUCCUGCACCAUCCUCACAAUCGUUGUCACGCUUGAGCCCAUUGUUGCAGCCACUGUGUCAGUCCAUCUCGUUGAGGGUCUUGCUUUUAUUCACUGUCCCUCUAAAGAAAGCCUUAGUCUCUUAAAAUGUCUUUUGUGUAUAUGUGUAAAUGUCCAUAUAUCGACUCCCUGUGUUUUUAUUUUGACUUUUCUGUACCAGUGACUCUACCACUGUAGUUCUCGAUAAGGGUGACUUUGUCCCCUCAGUGGGCUUUCAGGGUGGCAGAGAGGAAGCAAAUGUUAGGCAGAGGCCAGAGAUGUGGCUAAACAUUCCACAUUACCAAGACAACGUCCUAAGCAAAAUGAUCAGGCCCCAAAAUUCAGUAGUGUCUGGGUUGAGAAACCAUGCUCUAGCACUGUGCCCUGAUUACGAAUGGGGUUAUGUAAGUACAAGCUGUCAACUCUGUGUCCCACUUUUAGUGUUUUGGUCCAAGAUGAAUUCCCUCCACCUUCCUAUAUGUCUCCUCUUUCUCACCUGAUCAGCUGACUGGGAGCUCUUGUUGUUGUUGU